GCUGCUUCCUCUCCCUGCUUGGCUUCUGGCACUCUCUCAAAGAGUGUGCAGCUGAGUCAAGACUAAUUGAACAAACUGUGAAGCCAUUAACACAGGAUGGUGACUUCACUGCUGUUUUCUUAGCAAUGAUGGUUGGAGAUGUGAAUUGAUAAAAUACUGAAAGUAGUUAAGACAUAGAUAAAAAUGUGGAGAAAAUUACCACAUCCUUAGCUCCUCUAGAGAAGGAAGAAAAUAAACCCCAAGAGGAAACAGGAAAGAAGUAAGAAUACAUACUUGAAAACACACUAUUGUCACAGAUAUCAGGGAAAAGUGAUAGAGGAAGUGGACAACUGUGUUAAAUGUACCAAAACAUCAAGAAAAAGUAAGGACAAAGAAAGAACUGCUGCAAUUGACAAAUGAAGACAUUGUCAGAAACCAUUUCCGUGAGCAAUCGCACUGGCUUAGUGAAAGAAAUCAUUAGGUUGUAGGGAAUGGAGGCAAUAAAUAGACCCCACUCAUUCAGUAAGUUUGGCAUUAAAAGAUAAAAAGAAGUGUCUCAAGUGUCAAGCAGAUGUGUUAGUCACUCCUCUUUCCCAUUCCAGAUGUUAACCGCAAUCCCAAACCACUGUUUCAGAAGUGCCUGCUUUUGACUGCUGGGGAAA